GCGGGCCCCAGGAUCCGGAGCUUCGGGCGGGGCGGAGUCCGAGUUUGGGGCCCGGGAGGCGGGGCCAGUUAGGGUGAGGGUCCCUGGGAUCGACGGGUCAGGUCUUGGGCUAACGUAGGCACUCUCGCAGUUCCUCCGCCUUCAGGAAGGUCUUUUUAGCAGAGGCCUUACGGGUGCGCGCUUCGGUCCUGGAGGCCUUAUCCUAACCUCCUCUCCAUCAGCGCCACCCGUCUGGGGCCCGAAACGAGGGAGCUUUCCCUCUGUCCCCCAGCCUUUGGACUGUCACCAAACAAGCCAUUCGUUCAUCAAAAAUACUUAUUAAGCGCCUACCAUGUGCCUGACAAGGGAGAUGUAACGGUGAGAAAAAGUAGGUGUGGUCCAGGCCCUCCAGGGGCUCAGGGGCUCGUGGAAGAAGUGGACAUUGAAAUACUUAUCACACAAAUGAGGAUAAAAGUACGAUAGCGAUAUCUGCCACGAAGAUAGGGUCUCUCUCUCUGCCACCCAGGCCAGAGUGCAGUUGACGCAGGGCAGGGGAGCCCCGAAGUGGAGCAUAGCGUGUCCGGAACUGGUGGGUUCUUGGUCUCACUGACUUCAAGAAUGAAGCCGCGGACCCUCGCGAAAUGAGGCUUCUCCCUGGGACCAGCAUUCCACGAAGGCAGCCCUUUUCUAGAUGGAGAAAACAGAACCUGAAGACACCCGUUUCCCUAAACUGCUCUUGCUCAUGUGCUUCCGAGGCGAUCGAUCAGGCAGUGUCGGUCUGCAGCUGCUAAGCCAAGAAGAUCUGGGAAGGAGUCAGUCAGGGAGCCUUGGGCUGGAGUCCCAGGGGCUCUGGGAGUGGCUGCCAGUUCUACAAGGCCUGGAGCUGAUACGAAAAACCUCCCUUCUUUCCCAAAUGCUCCCCAGCUUCCCCGUUCACUGAAGGCCCUGCAGUCAGGAACAGUCAGGACUUUGCACCCAGUUGUUGUGGGUGUUUGGCCGACUCUUCCUCUUGUGUGAUUCAUGGACCCUCAGCAUUGCAUCACCUAGGAGCUUUUGGAAUUGAAGACUCUCAGGGCUCACCCGGAAGGACCUCCUGGGCCAGAAUCUGCAUUUUAACAAGAUGCUCAGGAUCUGUAACCCAGGCUGGAGUGCAGUGGUGCGAUCCCGGCUCACUGCAGCCUCUACCUCCUGGGUUCAAGCG
rnacentral:lncRNA from 1 species